rnacentral:rRNA from 1 species
AUAGUAAGUCAGAGGUGAAAGCCCACAGCUCAACUGUGGAAUUGCCUUUGAUACUGAUAUUCUUGAGUGUAGUUGAAGUAGNCGGAAUAUAGCAUGUANCGGUGAGAUGCAUAGAUAUGCUAUAGAACACCAAUUGCGAAGGCAGCUUGCUAAACUAUAACUGACGCUGAGGCACGAAAGCGUGGGGAGCGAACAGGAUUAGAUACCCUGGUAGUCCACGCCGUAAACUAUGAACACUCGCUGUUGGCAAUACACAGUCAGCGGCUGAGCGAAAGCGUUAAGUGUUCCACCUGGGAAGUACGAUCGCAAGGUUGAAACUCAAAGGAAUUGACGGGGGCCCGCACAAGCGGAGGAGCAUGUGGUUUAAUUCGAUGAUACGCGAGGAACCUUACCUGGGCUUAAAUGUAUAUUGACGUACUGAGAAAUCAGUAUUUCUUCGGACAAUUUACAAGGUGCUGCAUGGUUGUCGUCAGCUCGUGCCGUGAGGUGUCGGGUUAAGUCCCAUAACGAGCGCAACCCCUACUUCUAGUUACCAGCAUUUCGGAUGGGGACUCUAGAGGAACUGCCUACGCAAGUAGAGAGGAAGGUGGGGAUGACGUCAAAUCAGCACGGCCCUUAUGUCCAGGGCUACACACGUGCUACAAUGGCCGGUACAGAGGGCAGCUACAUAGCAAUAUGAUGCUAAUCUCAAAAGCCGGUCUCAGUCCGGAUUGGAGUCUGCAACUCGACUCCAUGAAGCUGGAUUCGCUAGUAAUCGCACAUCAGCAAUGGUGCGGUGAAUACGUUCACCGGGCACUUGUACACACCGCCCGUCAAGCCAUGGAAGUUGGGGGUACCUGAAGUCGAUUGCCGUAAGGCGUUGCCU